GACCCUUCGGGGAGCCUAUACAGGUGUUGCAUGGCUGUCGUCAGCUCGUGUCGUGAGAUGUUCGGUUAAGUCCGCUAACGAGCGCAACCCUCGUCGUAUGUUAUAUGUGUCAUACGAGACUGCCGGUAAAAGCCGGAGGAAGGUGAGGAUGAUGUCAAGUCAGCAUGACCUUUAUAUCCAGGGCUACACACACGCUACAAUGGUCUGUACAAUGGGUAGCCAAGCCGCGAGGCGGAGCCAAUCCUGAAAGCAGGCCUCAGUUCAGAUUGCAGUCUGCAACUCGACUGCAUGAAGCCGGAGUUGCUAGUAACCGCAGGUCAGCAAUACUGCGGUGAAUACGUUCCCGGGUCUU
rnacentral:rRNA from 1 species